CUGCUGUCUGCAAAUCAUAUGAUGUGGAUGGCUGACCUCUUGGCCUCUGCCCUGCAGAGGACUCUCUUGGAUUUUCAGGAGAGGAGGGGGAAAAAGAAGUCUUAUUAAAAAUAACAGCAUUUGGUGUGCAUGUGUGUGAGUGCUGUGUACAGACACAUUUAACAGUGCAGCCGCUCUGAGCAUUGGCUGGUGGGGAAGAGUCCUGAAUGCAAAGUGAGAUAAGAACUCGGAGGCUCAAAGAGGUUAAGUGUCUCACUUGAAGUUGUCCAUCAAAGAAGAAACUGAGCCUGGAACCUUGGAAGGACAGUGAGGAGAAUUCAACUGUCCAGAUAGAAAGGUGGACAUGGAAAAAUUGGGCUUUGCAAAUGGUCACCCAAUUCUUGCCUUCCUGGUCUCCAGAUCACCCUUCCUAUACCGCCACUCUGGAGAAAGAAGUACAGAACGCUAACAAGGAUGGCUUGGAGUUGCAGUGGUCACCUCAGAUCUUAAGGUCACUUUGGAGAUGGAACCCCUGUGACUAGGAAUGGCAGAACAGAAAGGUAGAAAGAGAUUGAGUCCUGGGGAUGUGGCAGAGCCACCAUCCUAGCCCCGUACUGCGUACUUCUGGACUUCCUUUAAAUUGAGAGAAACAUGUUCCUACCAUAUUUAACCAUUUGGUGUUCUAAACCCCAUUCCUAGCUCUGGAAUGCCCUGGCAGAGCUGGUGCUGGCUGGGACCCCAGUGGUCCUUGGUGACCUUGCUCAGCAGUGCUCUUUCCACAAAUGACCCCACUACUAUCAUGUGCAGAACUAUCUUGGUGUGUGUGUGUGCAUGAGCAGACAUCCACAGCCAAGUAAUUUUCAAAGCUGUCAGCUCUGCUCUCCUGUAGCCUCCUGCUCCCCACUGCCUUCUCAUUUCCACCAGAGGAAGGUGAGGCUGCUGGUGAGGAGCUUUUUCCUUUUCCCUUUUCUGAAUUGUUUACUAUAUUAAACACUCAAUAUCCACUGCCCAGAAUAUUAUUAUGCUAAUAUUUCUCUGAUUUAUUUUUACUUUUAUUUGUAAUUAAAGAAAUAAAACACUAUAGGUACUAUCGCACCCUUUUUAUCCUUUCUGUGAGCCUAUUCUACUCCUUCUUCCAAAAAGGCAUUCUCUUGAACUUGCAUGCAUUCUGUGUUUUUAUGCUUCUAUUAUGCAUAUGUCUGAAUCCAUACGUGAUUGAUAACAUUGUUUUAUAUGUUUUAAAUAUGUGUGUAAAUGGUAUAUUAAUGUGGUUUGAUUUUUUACACAGACCUUGGAUUUUUUCAAGAUCAUCCUUCUUGAUGCCUGCAUCUAGCUCACGGGAACUCACUGCUGUGCCUGUACAGUGUUUUCCCAUUGCUCUAUUGAUGAACAUUUAAAUUGUUUUCCAAUUUUCAAUAUUGUAAAUAAUGCAAUAAUAAACAUCCUCUUAC
rnacentral:lncRNA from 1 species